ACGAAGAGGUAUCGUAAUUGAAGAGGUUUGGAAAGACCCACCACAGAAGGUAAUAGUCCUGUAUGUUAAACGAGAAGACUUCAGAUAUGAUCCAGAGUACCACGGGACACGUGAAACCCUGUGGGAAGCAGGAGGGACCACCCUCCAAGGCUAAAUACUACCUAGUGACCGAUAGCGUAUAGUACCGUGAGGGAAAGGUGAAAAGAACCCCGGGAGGGGAGUGAAAUAGAACCUGAAACCCUGCACUUACAAGCUGUGGAAGCACAUUUCUUGUGUGACCGCGUACUUUUUGUAGAACGGGCCAACGAGUUACGUUAAGUAGCAAGGUUAAGCACUUAAGGUGCGGAGCCGUAGCGAAAGCGAGUUUUAACUGAGCGUUCAGUUACUUGACGUAGACCCGAAACCGGGCGACCUACCCAUGAGCAGGAUGAAGCGAAAGUAAAAUUUCGUGGAGGUCCGAACCCACGAGCGUUGAAAAGCUCGGGGAUGACUUGUGGGUAGCGGUGAAAUUCCAAUCGAGCCCGGAGAUAGCUGGUUCUCCCCGAAAUAGCUUUAGGGCUAGCCUCAAGGUGAGAGAUACGGAGGUAGAGCACUGAAUGUCCUAGGGGGUAUUGCACCUACCGAAGACUAUCAAACUCCGAAUGCCGUCAUCUUAUACUUGGGAGUCAGACUGUGGGUGAUAAGAUUCAUAGUCGAAAGGGCAACAGCCCAGAUCGUCAGCUAAGGUCCCUAAAUGUAAGUUAAGUGGUAAAGGAUGUGGGAUUGCACAGACAACCAGGAUGUUGGCUUAGAAGCAGCCACUCAUUCAAAGAGUGCGUAAUAGCUCACUGGUCGAGUGA
rnacentral:rRNA from 1 species